GAACCUUCAGAUUUCAGAUUUGAUUAGGGUUUUAGCGUCUUCGGACCAGGCUUCAUUCCCCCCAAUUGUUGCUCCCUGUUUACUCCAUAUUUCUUCCUUCUUUUCAAAUUAGGGUUUCAGAUCCAGUGAAUGAACCCUUGUUAAAGGUUUGAUCUCUUACCUUACUUUCUCAGAUUCAUUUACAUGCGUUAUUGAUUGUUUGCAUGGAAAGAAAUAGUUUUCUUUUUUAAAUAGGUCUUUGGGGACCGAUAGAAAAAAAAAGUUUUCAGGUAUUUGCAGAUUGGUGUAAUGAUGAAAGAAUCUGACUUUCUUUCUCCUCUUGGAAUCUGAAAAGUUUCAUC
rnacentral:precursor_RNA from 1 species